GCUCUGCGCCUAUUUCGUUGCCCAAUUUUUUCAGUACCUUCUUCCUCCUCUGAACCAAUUCACAAACCGUUACAGGCUUACGGCCCUGUCGCCGCCGUCCUACAUCGUGAUUAGAGAUACACACAUACAUACACACUCACUCUAGGAUUAUCUGCCUCAACAAUGGCGACUGUUUGCAGAAAAUCAAAGAAAUCGAAGAUGAGAUGGCGAGGACUCAAAAGCAAGAAGCUCCUACUGCCUUUCUUCACAACGUCUUCCUACUCCCUUUCUUUUUUGGAUGAAUUGGCCUCCAAAAACUUACCAUGCAAGUAAAGCAAGAAAGAAAUUUGAGAAUGCAUGCUUUGUAGAAUGAGAAACCAGUUCCUAUUAACGUACCACAUAGUACGUUGUCACGACAUCGCUAAGCAACAAGCUCUCAACUUCUCCACCUUAGCAGCUCCUCUUCUACAUUUGCAGAAACAAUCUCUUCUACCCUGUCAGCUCCAAACCAAGAGGCGCGAAUUUGCCAAUCUCUUGCAAAUACCCAUAUUUGACAACCCCAUAUUGUAUUAUAAGAGGAUUCAUGGCCAAAUUGUUGUGUGUGGUUUUCGAAAUGAUGUGUUUCUUGCCAACAUUCUCUUGCGCUCGUACUCGAAAAAUGGCUGUCUACAUGACGCACGGAUGUUGUUUGAUAAAAUGUCUGAAAGAAACUUAAUUACUUGGUCUUCAACGGUAUCUAUGUAUAGCCAACAUGGAUAUAAUGAAGAAGCCUUGGCGGUGUUCUCGGAAUUUUUGAGAAGUUUUGAUGAGCAUCCAAAUGAGUAUAUUUUAGCUAGUGUUAUUCGCGCUUGUACACAAUUGGGUGGAGUUGAUCAAGGUGCCCAGGUGCAUGGUUUUGUUGUUAAGACUUGUUUUUAUCGAGAUGUAUAUGUGGGUACCUCGUUGAUUGAUUUUUAUGCGAAGAAUGGUGAGAUGGAUGGCGCAAGAUUGCUUUUUGAUAGUUUGGUGGAGAAAACUGCGGUUACUUGGACUACAAUCAUAACGGGGUAUGUGAAAAGUGGAAGAAGUGAAGUUUCUUUGCAGUUGUUUAACCAAAUGAGAGAAAAUGAUGUUGCUCCUGAUAAAUACGUGCUCUCUAGUGUUUUGAGUGCUUGUUCAAUGCUUGAGUUUCUUGAAGGAGGAAAGCAAAUUCAUGCUUAUGUGUUGAGGAGGGGAACAGAGAUGGAUGUUUCAGUGAGUAAUGUGCUUCUGGAUUUCUAUGCAAAAUGUGGUAAAGUUCAUACAGCACGAAAACUAUUUGAUCGGGUGGUUGUCAAGAAUAUUAUAUCAUGGACCACAAUGAUUGCGGGGUACAUGCAAAAUUCAUUUAAUUUUGAAGCCAUCAAACUAUUUGCUGAAAUGGCCAAACUGGGUUGGAAACCUGAUGGAUUUGCUUGUACUAGUGUUCUUACUUCUUGUGGUUCACUUGAGACUUUAGAAAAUGGGAGACAAGUGCAUGCUUACACCAUCAAGGCAAACCUUGAGUAUGAUGAUUUUGUGAAAAAUGGUCUGAUUGAUAUGUAUGCAAAAUGUGAUUCGUUGACUGAUGCUAGAAGAGUUUUUGAUGUUAUGUAUGAUCAUAAUGUGGUCUCUUUCAAUGCUAUGAUUGAAGGAUACUCAAGACAAGAGAAGCUGAAUGAGGCAUUGCAUCUUUUCCGGGAGAUGAGACUUAGAUUAUUCCCACCAAGCCUCUUGACAUUUGUUAGCCUUCUUGGUGCAUCAGCUGCAUCAUUCACCUUAGAAUUGAGUAAGCAAAUUCACUGCCUCAUCAUCAAAUUUGGGGUUUCUUUGGAUGUAUUUGCUGGCAGUGCUCUAAUAGAUGUUUAUUCUAAGUGUUCGUGUAUAAGGGAUGCAAGGCUUGUAUUUGAGGAGAUAAUUGAAAAAGAUAUUGUAGUAUGGAAUGCAAUGUUUUUCGGAUAUACUCAACAGUUGGAAAAUGAAGAGGCUCUCAAACUUUAUUUAGAAUUACAGUUGUCAAGGCAAAGACCUAAUGAAUUCACUUUUGCUGCCUUGAUCACCGCAUCCAGUAACCUAGCAAGCCUCCAACAUGGUCAACAGUUCCAUAACCAGGUAAUAAAGAUGGGAGUAGACUGUGACCCUUUUGUCAUAAAUUCCUUUGUGGAUAUGUAUGCUAAGUGUGGAAGCAUUGAAGAAGCCCACAAAGCGUUUACUUCCACAUUUUCGAGAGAUGUUGUUUGUUGGAAUUCCAUGAUCUCAACAUAUGCACAGCAUGGGGAGGCAGACGAAGCUCUUCAGAUGUUUGAAUUGAUGAUAAAGGAGGGAAUAAAACCAAACUAUGUCACAUUUGUGGGUGUGCUCUCUGCGUGUAGCCAUGCAGGACGUGUAGAAAAUGGACUUCAUCACUUCGAAUCAAUGGUGCAUUUUGGAAUCAAACCAGGAACGGAUCAUUAUGCUUGCAUAGUUUCUCUUUUGGGCCGAGCAGGUAAACUCUCUGAAGCAAGGGAAUUUAUUGAGAAAAUGCCAAUAGAACCAGCAGCAGUAGUAUGGAGGAGCUUGCUCAGCGCAUGUAGAGUUGCUGGUAAUGUUGAUCUGGGGAGAUAUGCGGCAGAGAUGGCAAUUUCAAUUGAUCCAAUAGAUAGUGGAUCGUAUAUUUUACUUUCCAAUAUUUUUGCAUCUAAAGGUAUGUGGGUAGAUGUCAAAAGGCUGAGGGAAAGAAUGGAAUUUAAUGGGGUGUUAAAAGAGCCUGGAAGUAGUUGGAUCGAAUUGAAUAAAGAUGUUCAUGCGUUCAUUGCAAGAGACAGAGUGCAUGCUGAGGCUGAUCUUAUUUACUCAGUUUUGGACAACUUAAUUCUGCAGAUUAAAGGGGUUGGUUAUGUGCCUGACACUACUGUGCUUCUCAUGAAUGAUUGAGGAGAAACACGGUGGUAAUAAUACCACAUAAACCUGGGCUUUAAUCUCCUGACCUAUUCGAAGAUGAAUUCCUCAAUCAUCCAGCCUGUCUGUGUGAUCUUGAGCUUCAAGGGGAUCUGCACCCUGAAGAUAUUCGAAUUUUGGACUCUUUAUUUACUAUCCUAGUGGAAAGUGGAAACUUGGAUGUUUAAGCUGUUGGAUGUGAACAUGCAAUCACUUCCUUAUGGCUUUAAUUGCAAAGCAGGAAUGGUUUCCUCUUCUAGUUGGCUGUGCUAAGCUUCCCCUGAUGCUUUCAGUGAAACUGGUCAGCUGUGGGGCAGGUUCGUACUACACUAGAGACUGCCAGGCAAAAAAUUAUUGACAUGCUAGUUGUGCUUGAACUUAUUUUUUAAAGACUUCUAUGUGCAUAUGUUGAAGGCCACCAAUUUAGUUUGUCAAAGGAAUAAAGUUCCUAAUUUCAUGGCAACAUCUCAACCUGCUACACUUGUUAAUUCCUUUAUAUAUUUGUUUUUUGCAUAAACUCUUUCUGACUUUGGCUAUGAUAUUUGUCAUUUUAACUACCUAGCUCAUGUUCUGUCCAGAAUUGAUUGCUGAGCACAAGGAAAUAUACUGUGUAUUGUAACUGAAACAUUGGAUACUUCCUUAGUUCGUGUGUGGUACAAUGGCCGCAUGCUCAUUUAGGUCUGCCAGUAUGUUGUUAGUAUCACGUUCAAAGAGCGAGUCUGCUAUAACUACAACUUCCUGGAAUGCUGAUUGCUCAAGUUCCAAUAACCUUUCUUCCAUUCAUGUUCUUGCUACUUCAACUUGUUCUAAACGUUCUUGUAGACCACUUUGUGGAUUUAUUGAAUUCAAGAAAAGGUAUGAAUUAACUGAAGCAUUUUCUUUGUCUGCAGUUGUACGUCUGUCUUUAGUACAAGCCAACCAAUGCUAGAGGAGGAUGAUAUGAUGUUCUUAUAAGGAGCUGAUACCAACUGUGGCUGCACUGGCUGGUGUUGAUGUAAUACCAGCAGUUGUAAAAUUUUCAACUUGUCGAGAAAAUUGUACAGUCAAUUUUCUAAAAUUUUCAAUUUGAAUGUUUUAUUUUCGAAGUUUUUGCUAA